GUCCAAACCAACCGACGGUCGAAAUAAAGAAAGAAGGUGGAAGCACGUCUUUACUCAAUCAGCAGUAGAAAAGGAAUGAACGAAUUACGAAUAAACCAAAAUA